AUUGAACGCUGGCGGCAGGCCUAACACAUGCAAGUCGAACGAGUGGAGGACGGGUGAGUAAUGACUGGGAAACUGAACGAUGGAGGGGGAUAACCAAUGGAAACGGUAGCUAAUACAGCAUACCAACGGAUGUGACCAGAUGGGUUUGGAUAGUAGGUGGGGUAACGGCUCACCUAGACGACGAGCCCUCUCUGGUCGUAGAGGAUGACCCGCCAAACUGGACCUGAGACCCGGUCCCGACUCCUACGUGAGGCAGCAGUGGAGAAUAUUUCACAAUGGGCGCAAGCCUGAUGCAACCAUGCCGCGUGUAUGAAGCAGGCCUUCGGUUUGUAAAGUACUUUCAGCGAGGAGGCGUUACUCGCAGAAGAAGCACCGGCUAACUCCGUGCCAGCAGCCGCGGUAAUAC
rnacentral:rRNA from 1 species